GGUUUCAUGGUGUAAUGGUUUCACUCUGGACUCUGAAUCCAGUGAUCGGAGUUCAAAUCUCAGUGGGAUCU